GUAUUUUAUUAUAUAAAU
rnacentral:snRNA from 1 species